rnacentral:rRNA from 1 species
AAAUUGAAGAGUUUGAUCAUGGCUCAGAUUGAACGCUGGCGGCAGGCCUAACACAUGCAAGUCGAACGGUAGCACAGAGAGCUUGCUCUCGGGUGACGAGUGGCGGACGGGUGAGUAAUGUCUGGGAAACUGCCUGAUGGAGGGGGAUAACUACUGGAAACGGUGGCUAAUACCGCAUAACGUCGCAAGACCAAAGAGGGGGACCUUCGGGCCUCUUGCCAUCAGAUGUGCCCAGAUGGGAUUAGCUUGUUGGUGAGGUAACGGCUCACCAAGGCGACGAUCCCUAGCUGGUCUGAGAGGAUGACCAGCCACACUGGAACUGAGACACGGUUCAGACUCCUACGGGAGGCAGCAGUGGGGAAUAUUGCACAAUGGGCGCAAGCCUGAUGCAGCCAUGCCGCGUGUAUGAAGAAGGCCUUCGGGUUGUAAAGUACUUUCAGCGGGGAGGAAGGUGUUG